rnacentral:rRNA from 1 species
UACGAAGGGGGGCUAGCGUUGCUCGGAAUCACUGGGCGUAAAGGGCGCGUAGGCGGACUUUUAAGUCGGAGGUGAAAGCCCAGGGCUCAACCCUGGAAUUGCCUUCGAUACUGGGAGUCUUGAGUUCGGAAGAGGUUGGUGGAACUGCGAGUGUAGAGGUGAAAUUCGUAGAUAUUCGCAAGAACACCAGUGGCGAAGGCGGCCAACUGGUCCGAUACUGACGCUGAGGCGCGAAAGCGUGGGGAGCAAACAGG